UGAGAUCUUGACGUGUUCAGAAGAGGAAAAUUCAGAGUUGUUUCAUGCUGUUCUUGGUGGUUUGGGUCAGUUUGGAAUCAUCACAAGGGCUAGAAUUUCCCUUGAACCAGCCCAGCUCCUCAGAGGGUGAGGUGGAUCAGGGUACUCUACUCUAGCUUUUCGUCUUUUACCAGAGACCAAGAAUAUCUCAUUUCUCUGUAUGGAAAUCCACCCAGCCAAAAAUUCGAUUACGUUGAAGGUUUUGUUAUUGUAGAUGAAGGUCUUAUUAACAACUGGAGAUCCUCUUUCUUUUCCCCUCGAAACCCAGUUAAGAUUAGCUCAAUUGGUGCUAAAGGUACUGGUGUUCUUUACUGCUUGGAAAUCACCAAGAAUUAUCACCAAUCCUCUGUGGACACCAUUGANGGAAGUAGAGUCCCUGUUAAAGAAGCUGAAUUUUAUUCCAUCAUCAGUGUUCACGACGGAUCUGCCUUACGUUGAUUUCCUGGACAGAGUCCACAAGGCC
rnacentral:misc_RNA from 1 species